ACCGUGUGUUAUGCUAUUUGUGGAUGCAUGCCGUACGUGUAUGUCUGGGUGUCUACCAACCUGGGAAAGUCGGGGAAUUGGGGCCUUGCUGGAAAACUGUAGGCACUUUGGUAAAACCUGGCUAAUUCAUGGAAACUGGCGGCAGUCUGUGCCACCAUCACAAAAUUAAGCAUUACCCUUGAUCAAUACUCAAAAAGUCACUCCUUCGACUGCAACUACAGUGAACAGCUAGAAGAGGCCUAAAAAAAG